rnacentral:rRNA from 1 species
UGGGGAAUAUUGGACAAUGGGCGAAAGCCUGAUCCAGCAAUGCCGCGUGAGUGAUGAAGGCCCUAGGGUUGUAAAGCUCUUUUACCCGGGAAGAUAAUGACUGUACCGGGAGAAUAAGCCCCGGCUAACUCCGUGCCAGCAGCCGCGGUAAUACGGAGGGGGCUAGCGUUGUUCGGAAUUACUGGGCGUAAAGCGCGCGUAGGCGGCUUUGUAAGUUAGAGGUGAAAGCCCGGGGCUCAACCCCGGAAAUGCCUUUAAGACUGCAUCGCUUGAAUCCAGGAGAGGUGAGUGGAAUUCCGAGUGUAGAGGUGAAAUUCGUAGAUAUUCGGAAGAACACCAGUGGCGAAGGCGGCUCACUGGCCUGGUAUUGACGCUGAGGUGCGAAAGCGUGGGGAGCAAACA